CCUUUCUGAGCACCGGAAGAAAGCCAGGAAGGGCACCAAGCCACAGGCUCAAGGGCUCUGAGCCCUAUUGAAAGCCAAACCACAGAGAGCAGCAGAGCGGACACAAGUCCUGCGAGCUGGACCACGACCCUACCUUAAAUUCUCAGGACUCUGCAGCUCCAAGACAACGCAGCGACCACAGGAACCCUCUCUUCUCCUGCUGAAGAGGCCAAUCACCCCGCUUGGUAGGCACACGACCCCAACCCCCUCAACACUGCGAUGUACCAGCAGUGAUCACAUGAUCCAGUGCCAGCCAGACCGCCAUGUCCCCGUUGUGUGUGAGCUUGUACUUGUGCGCCUUGCAAAGGUGUGGUCUCCUCGCCCAUAAAGGGCCAUCUGUCACCGACUCCACUUGCUGGCCAUGAGGACGAGAUGAAGCAGUCUGAGGAGGGCCAGCUUCUGGCAAAGUCAGGCUGCCAGUCGCUUUGCACUGGCUCAGAAAGCCCCGCCUCCCCUGGACACCAUGCAUCUACAGGGUGGCGGCCACUGCAACAUGAGACACAGUGAUGUCCCCAGGUGCCCUUGCAGCUCCCGACCUGCUUGCCAGUUUGUGCCCCAUCAUGCAGACAGGAGGUAGAUGUCCCUGAUUUUGAUUUGACAAAAAGACCAGUUUUAUGGACAACCUUCUCUUAUCUGGGUCUAGAAUGGCAACUGGAAUAGAUGAAAUUAAGGAAACCUGCAUUUCUGCUCCACCUAGUAAUUUUAAAACCUAGAGUCCUUCCUUCCUUCCAGUCAUCUUGCUCCCUCCUGUGCAGUGCUGGGGAUUGAACCCAGGGCUUCAUGCACAUAGGUAAAUGCUUUACCACUGAGCUACAUCCUCAGCCCUUAAGAUUUUACUUUGAAACAGGGUCUUGCUAAGCUGCCCAGGCUGGCCUCAAACUUGGAAUCCUCCUGCUUCAAACUGAGACAGUCUUAUUCCACCUCAAGUCGAGUCCAGAGCCACAUAAAACACGAAUAAUUUGGAUGUGGUCAUGGUAUUUAUUUGUAAUAUGUUCUCACAAUGUAUUAAUAAUGGAGAAUAACACGUAUUCAUACAUCGAGUUUACUUUUCCUGGAGCGCUCCGGAAUUUGCUCAAAGUUAGAGGGUAUGGCCAGGUUUUCCUCAUCUCUUUGGUCUUUGGAAGUGGACGGUGUUGCUCAGUCCAAGUGUCUCCGUGGCCACCGGUGGAAGGAUUCCCUCCAAUCAGCAGACAGAUCAUGACUUCAGCACUUCCGUGCAGGAAAGAAGUAAUAAGAAGUGGGUUUGUGGAAGAUCAGAAGGACUCAGGCACCUUGAACUCCAGUUUGUUUCUUCACACACUACCUGUGAGGACAGGAAAACUGGCAGGGUACUAGGCUCACAGCCUGAGGAGAAAGUAUGCCAUUGGCCAGCAUCUCCAAGGAGAAGGCUGUCCCAGCGACACAGAAGCUGAGGUUCAACUUCUCCGGGUUUCUGAGGGUGCUGAAGGCCACCGCCAUGCUGUGCUCCUCUGUCCCGCUACUGGAUGUGCUGGUGACAGAACCAUGAGGUGACCUCACACUCCCAGCGCUGCUCUGUAAGGAAGCAGGGUGGAAGCCCUGGAUGGCAGGGGACCAAGGCAACAUGGCUGCGCAGGCACGCGGACAACAGACGUGGCAAGAACGAAGUCCAGCUCCUCCAGCACGGUGUGUCCAGAAGCAAAGGUGAGCCGCAGUUCCGGCUCCAUCCGAGGCUGUGUCCACUGGGAAGUGUUCCCUCCCUCCUGGCUAUCAACAGUGUUUACGGUUUUGAGUCUGGAAAUCACUUAAAUGCAUACAAAAUUAGCACCAAGGCAGCGUUUUUCCCAGAGAUCACGUGGCAUGGAAGAGAUGCUUAACACAAUUCAUAGUUGGUACAAUCUGUGAAAUCGCUAACUUACUUAUCGGCUAAUGAUAUGCUCCUGGGAAUGCCAAGAAUACCUUGUACGACUCUCGUAGCACCUUGAUGAUGGCUAGGUUGUUUAAAAAAAAACGAUUUAAAAAACAUAAUAGUAAAACAUUUACAGAUAAAAAGUAAACAACAGUGUACCAUGAUAAUGAAGGACCACUUCUGUCAUAAGACUACAUAUAAUGUAGAGUACGUAAAAUGCAGUGGUUGGACUGCAAGGGACAAAAUAGCGCAAAGGCAGUCACAAUAAAAUCAUUUUACGUACAAAAAUAUUACAACACAAUAAAUAAUUUCAAACAUAAAUAUUAAAUUUUACAUCAUUAGGAUAUUUCACAGGUUGAGUAUCCCUAAUCCGAAAUGCUUGGGAUGAGCAGUAUUUCAGAGUCGGGAUUUUCUUAUAUUUUGUAGUAUUCACAUACAUGCAAUGAGAUAUCAUGGGGAUGGGAUCCAACCCUAAGGACAAAAUUCAUUUAUGUUUCAUAUGCACCUGAUACCGCCUAAAGGUAAUUUUACACAGUAUUUUGAAUGAUUUUGCUCAUGAAACAAAGUUCCAUGAUGUGGAAUUUUCUA